GACGAACGCUGGCGGCGUGCCUAAUACAUGCAAGUCGAACGCUUUUUCUUUCACCGGAGCUUGCUCCACCGAAAGAAAAAGAGUGGCGAACGGGUGAGUAACACGUGGGAACCUGCCCAUCAGAGGGGGAUAACACUUGGAAACAGGUGCUAAUACCGUAUAACACUAUCUUCCGCAUGGAAGAAAGUUGAAAGGCGCUUUUGCGUCACUGAUGGAUGGACCCGGGGUGCAUUAGCUAGUUGGUAAGGUAACGGCUCACCAAGGCAACGAUGCAUAGCCGACCUGAGAGGGUGAUCGGCCACACUGGGACUGAGACACGGCCCAGACUCCUACGGGAGGCAGCAGUAGGGAAUCUUCGGCAAUGGACGAAAGUCUGGCCGAGCAACGCCGCGUGAGUGAAGAAGGUUUUCGGAUCGUAAAACUCUGUUGUUAGAGAAGAACAAGGAUGAGAGUAAAAUGUUCAUCCCUUGACGGUAUCUAACCAGAAAGCCACGGCUAACUACGUGCCAGCCGCCGCGGUAA
rnacentral:rRNA from 1 species